CCUACGGGAGGCAGCAGUAGGGAAUAUUGGACAAUGGGCGAAAGCCUGAUCCAGCCAUGCCGCGUGAGUGACGAAGGCCUUCGGGUUGUAAAGCUCUUUUGGCGGGGACGAUAAUGACGGUACCCGCAGAAUAAGCCCCGGCUAACUUCGUGCCAGCAGCCGCGGUAAUACGAAGGGGGCUAGCGUUGUUCGGAAUCACUGGGCGUAAAGCGCACGUAGGCGGACUUUCAAGUCAGGGGUGAAAUCCCGGAGCUCAACUUCGGAACUGCCUUUGAUACUGUUGGUCUCGAGUCCGGAAGAGGUGGGUGGAAUUCCUAGUGUAGAGGUGAAAUUCGUAGAUAUUAGGAAGAACACCGGUGGCGAAGGCGGCCCACUGGUCCGGUACUGACGCUGAGGUGCGAAAGCGUGGGGAGCAAACAGGAUUAGAUACCCGAGUAGUC
rnacentral:rRNA from 1 species